rnacentral:lncRNA from 12 species
CCUGGGUAGCUCAGCAGUUGAUCAUCUGCCUUUGGCUCAGGUUGUGAUCCCACAGUACCAGGAUUGAAUCCCACAUCGGGCUCCCUGCAUGGAGCCUGCUUCUCUCUCUGCCUCUGUCUCUGCCUCUCUCAUGAGUAAAUAAAUAAAAUCUUUAAAAAAAUAAAAAUAAAAUAAAUUAUAUUAGACACAAAGGUAAGGGACUCCUGGGUACCUCAGUUGGUUAAGCCUUUGGUUCAGGUCAUGAUCUCAGGGUCCUGGGAUGGAGCCCUGCCUUGGCUCCUGGCUCAGCAAGGAGUCUGCUUUUCCCUCUCCCUCUGCCCCUCCCCUCAUUUGUGUUCUCUGUCUCUCUCUCAAGUGAAUAAAUAAAAUCUUAAAAAUAAAAAUAAUUUUAAAAAAAUUUUUAAGUAGUACUAUUCAAACUCACUUCCUAAUUGCUCUUGAGGCUAGUUACACUUGUUGUAUUUGUAUGGUGGAAAGGCUGUAUAAUGGUGUGCAAUUGUGCAUUUCAUCCCAGUUCAGCAUUCAGUGAUAUAUGUUAGUAGUUGAAAAAUGGCCAUGGUGGGAAUAUUGAUUCCAUGGAAAUUGGCAAAUGCUGCAAAUUAGAUUUUUUUUUCCUGGAGAGCCAGUUAUUAAACAUUUACCAUCAUACCAUGGAUUCAACACAUUCUUUAUUGGCUCUUUUCUGUUCCUUGUCUCCUUCCUCACUCCUUCCUAAUACUUUCUGAAGUCACCAGGCAAAUAAAUUACUUGCAUACAUAUCUUAGUCUUAGAUAUUAGAGUUUCCUUUUGGAGAAAUGCAAACUAAAACGACAGGAGAGAAAAAUCUGAUUUUUCCAAGCUGAUACUGCUGCUCACUUCUAGACCCAUUAGCUACAGUGAGGGAGUUUGAGCCUCUUAGCGUAAAGCUGCUGCCAAGUAUCUACCCUUAUAGACUGCAGUUUCCAAGCAAUGAAGAAUUUUCUUUUUUUUUUUUAUUUAUGAUAGUCACAGAGAGAGAGAGAGAGGCAGAGACAUAGGCAGAGGGAGAAGCAGGCUCCAUGCACCGGGAGCCCGACGUGGGAUUCGAUCCCGGGUCUCCAGGAUCGCGCCCUGGGCCAAAGGCAGGUGCCAAACCGCUGCGCCACCCAGGGAUCCCCAAGCAACGAAGAAUUGCUGUGAGCCCUGUAGUUGCUGCAAGGGAGGCCUGAUGGAACUCUCAGCCUGGAAUCAUUACUCGUCCACGUUGACUUUGGGGAAAUCACUCUUCUGGGCAGAGUUCUAAUGUUUCAUAGUAUACAAAGAGGCAGUCUCUGAGGUAAGC